rnacentral:rRNA from 1 species
GUUAAGCAUCCCACCUGGGGAGUACGCCGGCAACGGUGAAACUCAAAGGAAUUGACGGGGGCCCGCACAAGCGGAGGAACAUGUGGUUUAAUUCGAUGAUACGCGAGGAACCUUACCCGGGCUUGAAUUGCAGGAGAACGAUCCAGAGAUGGUGAGGCCCUUCGGGGCUCCUGUGAAGGUGCUGCAUGGUUGUCGUCAGCUCGUGCCGUGAGGUGUCGGCUUAAGUGCCAUAACGAGCGCAACCCCUCUCCGUAGUUGCCAUCGGGUGAAGCCGGGCACUCUGCGGAUACUGCCACCGUAAGGUGUGAGGAAGGUGGGGAUGACGUCAAAUCAGCACGGCCCUUACGUCCGGGGCUACACACGUGUUACAAUGGGGCAUACAGAAAGCAGGCGGCCGGCAACGUCCGUCUAAUCAUCAAAGUGUCCCUCAGUUCGGACUGGGGUCUGCAACCCGACCCCACGAAGCUGGAUUCGCUAGUAAUCGCGCAUCAGCCAUGGCGCGGUGAAUACGUUCCCGGGCCUUGUACACACCGCCCGUCAAGCCAUGAAAGCCGGGGGUGCCUGAAGUCCGUGACCGCAAGGAUCGGCCUAGGGCAAAACUGGUAAUUGGGGCUAAGUCGUAACAAGGUAGCCGUACCGGAAGGUGCGGCUGGAACACCUCCUUUCUGGAG